UCUUAAAGACUGUUCUCAGUUCGGACUGCAGUCUGCAACUCGACUGCACGAAGCUGGAAUCGCUAGUAAUCGCGGAUCAGCACGCCGCGGUGAAUACGUUCCCGGGCCUUGUACACACCGCCCGUCACACCAUGGAAGUCUGCAAUGCCCGAAGCCGGUGGCCUAACCACUUAUGUGGAAGGAGCCGUCUAAGGCAGGGCAGAUGACUGGGGUGAAGUCGUAACAAGGUAUC
rnacentral:rRNA from 1 species